GGGCUGAGAAUCAGGUGUGUCAGGAGGUUGGUGAGGGGAAGGGGACUGAGAAUCAGGUGUGUCAGGAGGUGGGUGAGGGAGGAGAGGGCUGAGAAUCAGGUGUGUCAGGAGGUUGGUGAGGGGAAGGGGCUGAGAAUCAGAUGUGUCAGGAGGUGGGUGAGGGAGGAGAGGGCUGACAAUCAGGUGUGUCAGGAGGUUGGUGAGGGGAAGGGUCUGAGAAUCAGGUGUGUCAGGAGGUUGGUGAGUGGAAGGGUCUGAGAAUCAGGUGUGUCAGGAGGUGGGUGAGGGGAAGGGGGGCUGAGAAUCAGGUGUGUCAGGAGGUGGGUGAGGAGAGGGCUGAGAAUCAAGUGUGUCAGGAGGUCGGUGAGGGGAAGUGGGCUGAGAAUCAGAUGUGUCAGGAGGUGGGUGAGGGAGGAGAGGGCUGACAAUCAGGUGUGUCAGGAGGUGGGUGAGGGGAAAGGGGGCUGAGAAUCAGGUGUGUCAGGAGGUUGGUGAGGGAGGAGAGGGCUGAGAAUCAGGUGUGUCAGCAGGUGGGUGAGGGGAAGGGGCUGAGAAUCAGGUGUGUCAGGAGGUUGGUGAGGGGAAGGGGCUGAGAAUCAGGUGUGUCAGGAGGUGGGUGAGGGGAAGGGGCUGAGAAUCAGGUGUGUCAGGAGGUGGGUGAGGGAGGAGAGGGCUGAGAAUCAGGUGUGUCAGGAGAUUGGUGAGGGAGGAGAGGGCUGAGAAUCAGGUGUGUCAGGAGGUGGGUGAGGGGAAGGGGACAGAGAAUCAGGUGUGUCAGGAGGUUGGUGAGGGGAAGGGGCUGAGAAUCAGGUGUGUCAGAAGGUUGGUGAGGGGAAGGGGCUGAGAAUCAGGUGUGUCAGCAGGUGGGUGAGGGGAGGGCUGAGAAUCAAGUGUGUCAGGAGGUUGGUGAGGGGAAGGGGCUGAGAAUCAGAUGUGUCAGGAGGUGGGUGAGGGAGGAGAGGGCUGACAAUCAGGUGUGUCGGGGUGGGUGAGGGGAAGGGGCUGAGAAUCAUGUGUGUCAGGAGGUGGGUGAGGGAGGAGAGGGCUGAGAAUCACGUGUGUCAGGAGGUUGGUGAGGGAGGAGAGGGCUGAGAAUCAGGUGAGUCAGGAGAUUGGUGAGGGAGGAGAGGGCUGAGAAUCAGGUGUGUCAGGAGGUUGGUGAGGGAGGAGAGGGCUGAGAAUCAGGUGUGUCAGGAGGUUGGUGAGGGAGGAGAGGGCUGAGAAUCAGGUGUGUCAGGAGGUUGGUGAGGGAGGAGAGGGCUGAGAAUCAGGUGUGACAGGAGGUGGGUGAGGGAGGAGUGGGCUGAGAAUCAGGUGUGUCAGGAGGUUGGUGAGGGAGGAGAGGGCUGAGAAUCAGGAGUGUCAGGAGGUUGGUGAGGGAGGAGAGGGCUGAGAAUCAGGAGUGUCAGGAGGUUGGUGAGGGAGGAGAGGGCUGAGAAUCAGGUGUGUCAGGAGGUUGGUGAGGGAGGAGAGGGCUGAGAAUCAGGUGUGUCAGGAGGUGGGUGAGGGGAAGGGGGGCUGAGAAUCAGGUGUGUCAGGAGGUUGGUGAGGGAGGAGAGGGCUGAGAAUCAGGUGUGACAGGAGGUUGGUGAGGGGAAGGGGACUGAGAAUCAGGUGUGUCAGGAGGUUGGUGAGGGAGGAGAGGGCUGAGAAUCAGGUGUGUCAGGAGGUUGGUGAGGGGAUGGGGCUGAGAAAGGUGUGUCAGGAGGUGGGUGAGGGAGGAGAGGGCUGAGAAUCAGGUGUGUCAGGAGGUGGGUGAGGGGAAGGGGCUGAGAAUCAGGUGUGUCAGGAGGUGGGUGAGGGGAAGUGGG